rnacentral:misc_RNA from 1 species
GAUGAAGAACGCAGCGAAAUGCGAUAAGUAUUGUGAAUUGCAGAAUUCAGUGAAUCAUCGAAUCUUUGAACGCACCUUGCGCUCCUUGGUAUUCCGAGGAGCAUGCCUGUUUGAGUGUCAUUAAUAUAUCAACCUUCUCUUUUUUGAGUUGUUUGGAUGUGGGGGUUUGCUGGCCUCUUAAAUGAUUCAGCUCCCCUGAAAUGCAUUAGCAGAACAACCUGUUCAUUGGCGUGAUAAUUAUCUAUGCUAUUGAAUGUGAGGGCAGUUCAGCUUUCUAACCGUCCUUGGACAAUUCAUCAUUAAUGUGACCUCAAAUCAGGUAGGACUACCCGCUGAACUUAAGCAUAUCAAUAAGCGGAGGA